AGAACCAAGGAAUAAAGUCCUUUCGCAUACUGAAUACUACACAAUACUAUACACAUGCAAACAGAGAGCUCCAAACACAGAAUGGAAAUUAAUACUAUUCACCCAGUCCUAUUAUAGAUCCGUAUAUUGUUGAAUGAGCCAUCACUCUGGAUAAAUUUUUAAGUUAUAAAGUUCCAACUGUGCUCAUCUCAUAAUGCAGUCUUAUCUUUAGUGCCACUGAGCAGAUAAGAACUAUGUUCUGGGACUUCCUUUUCCACUCCAGUUCUGUUAUUUGAGCCCAUUAAAAUGCCUGCCACGUGAUAAAAAUUGGACUUCUAUUUGAACUAGGAAGGAAUGGUUACCUGCUGUACAGUGACUGAAGUUAGGAAGCUGUGGGCAGCUUCCCAGUAUAUGUGUCCUGCUGAAGGCAGGAUGUGUGUCCUUCAAGGACAGUCCAGCAGAAAUACCCAGCUUCCAACACCACAGAGUUAACACACCAAGAGUUGUUUUACCAAUUCAGAACUCAGCUAGGUCAUUUCAAGGCAGAAAUUCAAGCACCUUGGAGCAAUCACUGGUUUUGAAGAGACUGCUUCUAUCAUUUAUGGUGGUACAGGAAAGGACAAGUUUAAGAAGGACAAGCCCCUUCAAGCUGUUCUUCAGCCACAUAAAUUGAACUCACGAAGAUUUAUCUUUGUAAUCCCUGCCUCCGCUUUGCUUGCCUGCCUCAUUGGGAUGCAGGGUGCCUGGUUUCUCAGUGUUCAUCACAGCACAGCUCCCACUGCCUACAGUUUGCAGUGGCAAGUGCUCAACACUUCUACAAAUUACACUCCUCCAUGCUAAGCACCUCGAGAAACACAGUUAACAACCACAUGUGCAAAGUGACUCGUAUCACACAGGAAAUCUGUGGCAAAGGCAGGGAUACGAUACAGUUCCCCAGGGCUGCACUCAUGCCUUAAUCAUGAAAACAUGUUCUCUUCUCUACAGUUGUCUGCUUCAUUCACUGUGUCCUUACAACGGCUGCAACAAAGAAAGUACAGAUUGCACUGAGCUUUCACUGUGCAGUGAUUCAUCCUCCAGCACAGGUCCUUUCUGUGCGCUAAAUAACACAGAAGAGCCAUGGAAAACUCUCCCUGCCCAAAGGAAUUACAUCCAGUUCCCUCUGCCUCACCACUCACAUAAUCCACCAGGAUCCUUGUCCUUUUAUCUGCCUCUUCUACCACCAAGAGAGUUGGGUGCAUGGGAGUGAUGGGAUUCCUGAUCCAAUUCCUGUGCUUAAUCAGGCCCGACUGCGGCAGCGGCGAGCGGCAGGAUCAGGGGAAAAUGUUUUGAACGCCAAUAGCCCCAGGGCUGGAGCGUGCCCAGAUGUUUCAUGGAAUGGCUCUGGCAGACCAGUCACACACAGGUGUUUAUUGGCUUGAAGUAAAAGUCAGGAAUACCAAGAAUAAUUCAUCCGCCACUUGGCUCUUCAAACAGAACAGGAACGAGCACAACGUGCAAAUCUAAAUGGCAGAUAACAGCAGCUCUUAGCUAACACACACACUUCACCCGUGGAGCUGCUUGCAUGAUGAACUUUUUAUUUUGCUGGAAUGAACUCAUUUUCGUUAUGAAAACUGAUUAUGCAUAUUGUUACGGGCAUGCAGCCAAGCAACCAUACAACUCGCUUUUUCACUAAUCUCUGUCAUUUUUAGGAACAAAACACACUGCUGCUAACUGCAAAUACAAAUCUACUUCUUAGAAAUAUGAUUUGCAGUUUACUUUCUCUUUACAUUUAAAAGCUAUUUAAAAGCAAAACAGAUCUAGCUGGAUCAAAAGUAGCAUUGUGCACUUAAAUGUACUAAUUUUCACACUAAAAUUACUUUAGGGAGCAAAGACUUGCUAUAUGUGGCAAAUCAAAAGAGAAAUGUAAGAAACUAUUCCAAAGAGGUUUGCUACUCCACACAGCAAAAGCUCUGCACAGCCUCUCCGUGACCUGGACUCCGCACGAUUUAUUGGUUAUCUUUAAUAAAGCAAAAUCCAAGCGCCUUUCCUGCUUUGUUACUUCCAUUUUAGCACUAGCAGUAGCAGACAGGCAGACAAAGUUUAGUUUUAGCCUGGGAGCUAAAAGAAAUACUUCUAACAUGCAUAUGUACUGUUACAGUCUGACUUAUAAAUGCUCAGUAGUAAAGUCAGCAGGAAUUGAGCACUAAAACUGGAGAAGAGUAAAUGGAAAGAGAUCCUGCUGUAUUUGCAGACUCGUGGUAAUAAGGAAAGCGCUCCCAACUGCUCUUGGAAACUUGUCCUGUAAGUGAGUAAGGGGAGAGGUCAGACAGUGACAGACUGCUCUUCCAGCCUGAAAUGGGGGUUGCACCAAAACUAAAAAACCAAAAACAGUUUGAAACAUGCAUUUAACUAAAAAUUAAUGUUAUUAAAACAAAUUAUACCCGUCAUUUAGAAAUGUAAUCUGAAAGUACCGUAACUCCUGGCUUCUCUUCAGAUGAUGUCUGGCAGCGUGCUGUGUAUUAUCCACAAAGUAUCUUCCAGAAUCCCCAGCACCCUGGCUUCAGGAACCACUCUGAA